GGGCGGCUAGCUCAGCUGGGAGAGCGCCGCGUUCGCAACGCGGAGGUCGAGGGUUCGAUCCCCUUGCCGUCCACCA
rnacentral:tRNA from 6 species